UUGUUUGCAGGUGCAGCACCAUCAAGAUUCACAUGCAAUUUACACCCUAUAAGAGAUUUUUGACAAAAUUUCUUUCCUAGGAGAGUUUUGACUUGAGAAUCUUGAUGAUGCUGCAUCAGCAGUAAA
rfam:Glycine soja cultivar W05 scaffold4534_9, whole genome shotgun sequence.